GGAGAAGUACUCAAGUUGGCCGAAGAGGCGCCCCUGCUAAGGGUGUAGGUCGGGAAACUGGCGCGAGGGUUCAAAUCCCUCCUUCUCCGCCA
rnacentral:tRNA from 2 species